rnacentral:rRNA from 1 species
UCAGACGAUGCGUCAUGCAUAUCAAUAAGCGGAGGAAAAGAAACUAACAAGGAUUCCCUAGUAACGGCGAGUGAAGCGGGAAGAGCUCAAAUUUGAAAUCUUCAAGGUUUUACCUUGACGAAUUGUAGUUUAAAGAAGUGUUUUCUGUUGAAGUUUUGGUAAAAGUUCUUUGGAAUAGGACAUCAUAGAGGGUGAGAAUCCCGUAUUUGACCAUUAUUUUCAGCUUUGUGAUACACUUUCAAAGAGUCGGAUUGUUUGGGAAUGCAGUCCAAAAUGGGUGGUAAAUUUCAUCUAAAGCUAAAUAUUGGCGAGAGACCGAUAGCGAACAAGUACCGUGAGGGAAAGAUGAAAAGAACUUUGAAAAGAGAGUUAAACAGUACGUGAAAUUGUCAAAAGGGAAGCGUUUGACACCAGUGUUGUUUUUCUGAAAAUCAAUUAAAGAACUGUUUAUGCUAAGUUGUUUAGACUUUAUCAGCUAACUGUUUAGUUUUGAGCUUUUCUUUAAUGCACUUUUCAGUUAACAAGUCAACAUCAAUUUCUUUUGCUGUAAAAAAGCUUGAGGAAGGUGGCUUGAGAUUCGUCUUAAGUGUUUAUAGCCUCUUGCCUAUGCAGUCGGAGAGAUUGAGGUCUGCAGCGUAGAUCCUUCGGGGCUAAAUGCAUUUGUGCUAAGUUAUAGCAUUUUAUAGACAACUUGUUGACUAUGAUUAGUCUUGUAGCUUACUCGCUUAUGCUAUUUUACCUACGCUUAGGAUGUUGAGCGCAUGUCUCUCUCU